AACGAACGCUGGCGGCAUGCCUAACACAUGCAAGUCGAACGAGACCUUCGGGUCUAUUGGCGCACGGGUGCGUAACGCGGGGGAACCUGCCCUUAGGUGCGGAAUAACUUCCCGAAAGGGGUGCUAAUACCGGAUAAUGUCUUCGGACCAAAGAUUUAUCGCCUUUGGAUGGGCCCGCGUUGGAUUCGCUGGUUGGUAGGGUAAACGCCUACCAAGGCGACGAGCCACAGCUGGUCUGAGAGGAUGAUCAGCCACACUGGGACUGAGACACGGCCCAGACUACUACGGGAGGCGGGCGUGGGGGAUAUUGGCACGUCGGCGGAAGGCUGAACCACCACUGGCUCGUGAGUAAUGACGGCCUUAGGGUUGUAAAGCUCUUUUACCCCGGAUCAUAAUGACAUUACCGGGAGAAUAAGCUCCGGCUAACUCCGUG
rnacentral:rRNA from 1 species